GAAGUAAGCCAAGACAGCCGCUGGUUAGCGUGUAAUGCGUUAGCGGGAGGAAGGUCCGGACUCCAUAGAGCAGGGUGACGGUUAAUGGCCGUCCGUCGUGAGACGAGGAAUAGGGCCACAGAGACGAGCGUAUUAAGUUACGGUGAAACGCGGUAACCUCCACUCGGAGCAAUCCCAAAUAGGCAUGCGUUGAUGUUGCUCGCGGAGCAUGCGGGUAGGGAGCUUGAGCGCUGGAGUAAUUCAGCGCCUAGAGGAAUGGCUGUCAUAACGUGCGGGCGCAAGCCUAAACGUCGUAACAGAAUCCGGCCUAUCGGCUUACUUCAUUU
rnacentral:RNase_P_RNA from 1 species